rnacentral:lncRNA from 1 species
AUCAACUUUAUUCUUUACUUUACAGUAACUUUUUUAUAUCAACUUCAAAUUCAAACAAAAGAAAGAAAGAUGUAUAAAAUGAAGAGUGAGAUCAAAAUUCUAUCAAGCAUAUAUAACUAUGCUGAAGCAUCUUAGAAAUGAGAGUCCAUUUUUCCAGAACUCCACCAAGCUGCUGUCAUUCCCUUCAUGCACUGGUUCUUUAUUCUCCAUUUGAUCACCAAAACUUUUUACUCUCUCAAUUUUCAGUUGUUCCUAUAUAUAUGAAUUCUCUCUGCCCUAACUAUAUGCUUGAAUUCCCCUAUCCCUAUAUCAAUGGUAUAGAACAAAAGAAGAAAGAACACAUGAGAUGUGUCUCACCUCACCAACACCACCUUAACUGAUAGACCAGGAAAUUGGAACUGAAUGAACUUCCAUUUAUGAGCCUUCUUCACAUAUUCUGCCCUAUGUUCUGACAUAUAUACAUAUAUAUAUAUAUAUGAACCUUCUGUUCUUAUAGAUCUUCAUUUGCCUUCUCUACCAUGCAUUCAAAAUCCCAGCAGAAAAUAAAUGUUUGCCUUAAAUGCUAUCCCCUUGUUGUUAUAGCUUCCACUUCUGCUACCUGGGAUUGGUUACAUCUGCAAAAAAAAAGCCCUUUU